CAAGAUAAAAGGAAGGAGAGGAGAGGACAACGAUGAAGCAGAGGAAGAUGAGAAGCAGAAAACCGUCGCUGCUCCUUCUUCUUCAAUUGUUCCUUCAUCUUCUUCUUCUUCUCCUUCUUCUUCUCCUA
rnacentral:ribozyme from 12 species